AAGGAAGCAAGAACAUAAAAUGUGAAAAAGACAGUCUUUUCAGCAAGCAUUGCUGGGAAACCUGGACAGCUACAUCGAAAUCAAUGAAACAAAUUUAUUUUUAACUAAUUUAGUAUUAGUUAAAUUUAUAAUUAGUUAAUAUAGUUUAUUGCUACUAGUCUACUAGUUUAUGGCAGAGAUUUUAAUCUGUUAUUUUCAACUUUGUGUCAUUUAUAUACAGAACCAUGCCUAGUGCACAGCAGACACAUAGAUAAGUUUUGGCACUAUAGCAGCAUGCCAUGCAUAUCUGGAUCUGUAGCAGAUUCUUGCAGUUGUAUCCUCUCAACAUACCCUAGGACAACUGCACAUAAUUUCUUUAUAUGCACAUAGCCUUCUGUGCUUCAUUGCCCAAGGACUUUUGCUGGCUGCAGGAGUAUGGCAGUCAAGGGGAAGGCUUGAAGUGCUGGAGAAUUAGUGUUCCUGGAGUGACUUUCAGCCAGUGGGGAAUGAGAGUCUGAGUGUGUGUCCCACAGAAACUCUGAGAGAUUCCUUAGCAGGAUUGAUACCUGACUGUCUACAGCAGAGACUUGCUCGUUUGUGAACCCGUAUUGACUUUGCCUCCCUUCUCUCUAUCACUUUAUUAUUCUUUCAAAGUGCUUUCAUUAUCACAUCCCAAAUAAACUACUGCACCCAUUGUUUAGGGAGAAAGCCAAGUUAAGACAGGGCCAGUGCCUUGAACAACUCUAGAGGCACUAUUCACAUUGUAUUCUGUCCUUUCCUGGGCACCAUUUAUAUUAGAAUAUAUAAAUGACAACUAUGAAAGACAUAUUUAAGGAAUAGACUUUGAUAAUAACUAAGUCUUAGUUAAAAACUUUCAGUUAGUGUUUCUUCGAUGCUUUCUUUCUGUGUUCUAGGAAUAGAAGGGAGGGAAGGAUGAAAGAAAAUUAAAUGGUACGACUUUGACUUCACUGAAUUUAUUGUUACAAAAUGGUUUGGAAUACAAGAUGAGACUUUCUAUAUCCAGGUACUGAUUUAGCCUAAAAUAUUUUCACCUGUUUCUAAUCACUUUUUUUUUGUUGUUCUUUUUGUCUUUUUAGGGCCAUACCCAUGGCAUAUGGAGGUUCCCAGGCUAGGGGUCCAGUCGAGCUGUAGAUGCUGGCCUACGCCAAGGCUAUAGAAACUCCAGAUCCAAGUUGAGUCUGUGACCUACACCACAGCUCACAGCAAUGCUGGAUCCUUAACCCACUGAGCGAGGCCAGGAAUCGAACCCACAACCUCCUGGUUCCUAGUCCAAUUUGUUUCCAUUGCGCCAUGAAGGGCACUCCCUCUAAUUACAUUUGUGGCACCAAAUGUUUACGGGUUUUUUCCCACCAUACUAACCAAUUCUCCAACUCUCUGGAUACCAACUGAGUGUGGUAAAAUUCAGUUCAAUUCUGGCUCCAACUACCUUUGAGGUUAAGGGCUCUGUCCUAUAAGUCCACCCUUUAUUUUAGAUGUCAUUUGCAAGUUCUGGGCCUUCCAUACUUACGGCCAACUCACUAUGAAUCAAGUGUUUCCAUGAACCCUUCCUUAGGCUUUGUAAUUUACUAGAAUGGAUCAUAGAACUCAGGAGAACUCUGUUUGUUAGCACUUGUUUAUUACAAAAGAUUAAAAGGAUCAGUCAUAUUUUAUUUCAAGGAAAAUGAUACUCAGAGACUGAGACUGUUUUUGAUAAUAGCUUAUUUAACACAGGUUUACUGUGGGAAUUGUAAUAAUUUCACAAGCCAACAGUGUAAGGUUAAUGUCUCCUAAUAAGCCAAUAAAGAAGUAAUACACACCAAGCCGAGAACAGAUUAAUUAUACUAUUGUUCCAGGCAAAGGGAGAUGAAAGACAUAAAUUCAGAUUUAGUUGAGGUGUUUCUUUUUUACGAUUUGGUUCCUGGGAGUGUGGACUUAACCAACCUUGAAGUAACAUCCAGCUGCCAGUGAAACAAAAGUCUCUUGUUGCUAGAGCAUGUUGCUAGGGAACAGUAGCAUUGGUGUUGGUGGGCAAGAUGAUCUUUAUGCAGCCACUUCCACUGCCAGUAAAGGAGUCCCCUUUACUCCAGCAGCAGCUAAUGCUUCAAGGUCUCUGGAAAGCUGUUUAGACCAUCAAGGGAUAGUCUUGCCUACAUGAACAUUCAGUGCUCACAAGCUUUCUGUAUGUAUAGUCUAAAUGUCCCCUUGCCACAGUUGUUUCUCCCUAUGUUCUUUUUUAAAAAAUUAAAUUAUAAAUUUUACAAUGUUCCUUCAACUUUUGCUGUACAGAAAAGUGACCCAGUCAUAUGUGUGUGUGUGUGUGUGUGUGUGUGUGUGUAUGUGUAUACAUUCUUUCUUUUAACUAUCUUUCAUCAUGUUCUAACCCAAGGGAUUGGACAUAGUUCCCUGUGCUACACAGUAGGACCCCAUUAUUAACCUGUUCUAAAUGCAAUAGUUUGUAAAUACAAAUCCCAAACUCCCCAUGCAUCCCACUCCCUCCUUCCUCCUCUCUGGCAAACACAAGUCUGCUCUUUGUGUCUGUGAUCUGUUUCUGUUCAAAAAUAUAUGAACAUCCCUAUGUUCAUUGCAGCACUGUUCACAAUAGCCAACACAUGGAAAUAAGCUAAACGUCCCUGUGUUCUUACUGAUAAGCCCCUUGCAGGGCCUCUCAGCAGCUGAGUUACUGUGUGCUUAUAGGAAACCACAGAUGUGGAUGGUGACACACUGACACACAAUUUUACUUUUAUAUCUAAACAAAAAUUUAAAAUUCUUAAAAACAAAUUUAUUCUUUAAAAAAAGCUUCAUUUUUUGGUCAUAAACAAGUAGUUUUGAAAUCUUAUCAAAACAACGCACAGCAAUCCAUAUGAAGAGAUGUACGGGAUAAGGUCUGGAAGGGUCCUGCAAACAGGAGCUUCUGUCUCUGCAGAACUAGGGUAUACCACUGUCCUGGCACUGGGUACAUCCCCCAACUGAAGCUCUCAGAAACCCCAAACUUAAGGACUUUAUGGAAUUCUCUUGACAUAGGCAUGAUUGAGUAAAUCAUUGGCCAUUGGUGCUUAACUCAAAUUCUAGCCCUUCUUCCCUCCCCAGAGAUGGGGAGGGUAUGGAAAGUUCCAACCUGCUAAUGAUGCCCAGUCUUUCUGGUGACCUGAUCCCAUCCUGAAGCUAUCUAGGGGCCCUCAGCACACAUAAGGCCACUAACACGCUAAAGACACAUCACUCUGGAAAUCCCAAGGUUUUUAGGAGCUUAUCGCAGGAAUCUGACACAAAGCUCAAAUAUAUAUUUUCUGUUGUGCCACAAAGAUGAGUAAUUGUGACUUGAGAGACUCAGACCAGAGAUUGGUAGAAUUUGUCUUCUUGAAGCACUGUCUGGUGGAACCUGUAAGAAAAGGUGAAGGAGGAUUUUGAUCAGAUAGGAUGUGGAACUCUUUAAUUCCACUUCAUCUUAAGCCACAUAAGCCACAUAAUACAACUUUAAAAAAUUGAGAUAUUGAUUAGUUUAUAACAUUAUAUAAGUUUUAUAGGUUGUACAUGCACAUAAAUUUUGGUCUUACAAAAACAGUGGUGAUGCUGCAUCAAACUAACCUCACUUCCUGAUAUCUUCUCCUUCUAUCAAUACUCUCCAUCUUUAGAUUACCGUUGAGUAAAGAAGGGCUAAAAUGAAAAGGAACCAUGAGUUACCCCACCUUUCCCUUUUUCUCUAUGUCAUUAUUUUCAGUGUAAACAUUGCCUACAAUAGGAAAGUAACACUAAAAAUAAUGGGUAUGGUGGGUUUUCUGCUUAUUUGUGUUUCUUAGACUGCCAAUGCCUUUUUUUUUUCUUUUCUAUUGAAGCAAGUCUGGUUCAAGUGGGAAGUGUGGUUUUCAGGAACCUCAAUGUUUAUUUUUUAAAUUUUUAUUUAUUAUUAUUAUUAUUAUUUUUUUUUUAGGGACACAUCUGCAGCAUAUGGACGUUCCCAGGCUAGGAUUUGAAUUGGAGCUGCAGCUGCUGGCCUAUGCCACAACCACACCAAUGCAGGAUCUGAGCUGCAUCUGCAACUCACACCACAGUUCAUGGCAAUUGCUGGAUCCUUAACCCACUGAGUAGGGCCAGGGAUCGAACCCACAGCCUCAUGGAUACUAGUAGGGCUUGUUUCUGCUGAGCCGCAGUGGGAACUCUCCUCAGUUAUUCGUUUUUAGAUGCAAAUUAUUUCCUUUUUCUUUCUCUUAUUAUUAUUUUUUUGGCCAUGUCCAUGGCAUAUGGAAGUUCCUGGCCAGGGAUCAAAAUCUGGCCACAGCAGCAACCCUAGCAGCUUCAGUGACAAUGGCAUAUCUCUAACCUGCUGCACCACAAGAGAACAUCCUAGAUAUCAAUUCUUACUUGAUGUUUGUUUAAAGUCUCCAUAACUCUAACACAAUGAAAUUCUCUAUUAACAAGGCCUUUUGAGUGUGAUAUGAAAAAGGUAUGUGUGAAUGGAGUGACCAGGAAUGGUGUAUAUUGUAGUGUCUCUGAGCACAUGUAUACUCUAUGGUCUCAUAGGACUUUCUUUACAAAACACAAAUUCAAAGAGAAAAUUAUUAGCAUUUUGAGUCAGGGAUUGCAGAGCAUUAAACCCAAUGUGAGGCCCUGUACACCUUCACAGCUCACACCCCGUAAAGCUGGCCCUGUAAGAAUGCUCUCAGUCAUUUGCUUACCCUGGGAGUUGUGUGAGUCAUAAUCAAAACAUACUGACUCAGGGUAGAAAAGGAACUGACUCUUUUUAAGAGAAGGGGAGAUUGGACUUUGGGGAGACAAAUGCAACAGAUGUUUACUAUAGGAAGAAAAGAAGAGGGACAAUUAUCUAUGCUAUCUUCUUCAUCCAUAAAACACAAAGGAUUAUCCAGCUCAAGGGUAAGUGGAAAGUUUUUCUGCAAAAUAACUUUUUAUUCCUUGCAAAAUCCCUGCAGAAUACCUUUAUGUGAAAUUCAUCUGUGCUAGGAAGGAUCUAAUCUGUUUAUAUCUAUUUUCAAAACCUAUGCUAUCCAGUACUUGUGAGCGGUAAUCCCAUGAUUAUCUACAUAUGGAAAUUACUGUGUCUGUAAUGCGAGACUAAAGAAUAUCGUCUUUAGAAUGAUGGCACUUGAUGGGGUGGAAAGUUGAUUCCAUGUGCAUGGAUUGUUUUAUCACAUGAUUCUGUGAACAUAUCCCUGUUAUCUGCCCAAGUUGAGGAUUCAAAGAAAUGUGUCUACUUCUUUGUAUUCCUGAUAAUAAUACAAAGAAAAAUAUAGGAAACAAAAUUCAUGCUUACCAAAUAUUUGUUGUCUAUUGAAAGAGUUCCAUUAUGGUACAGUUUCUAUUCUUUAGUUUUCACUCAUAGGGCUUGCAUUUUUCAGAGUCAAGAGUAUGUGAUUUGAUAUUCCUUUCAGCCUGCUUUUUAAAAAAUUGUAUCACGUUGUUCUGAGUAAUUGGCCCAGGUGUUCACUGUCCAAAGCUCAACUUCAGCAGUGCAUCUGAUGACUUUCCUAUUUUUUGGAAGGGCACUUUGGGAAGGUCAAAAUAUUACAUGUCUCACUUACCGCUUUCAGUGAAAAAAGGGAGUUUAGUCAGAAAAAAAUCAGCCACACUGGCCUAUCUUGUACUUCCUCACCCCCGUGUCUUGCCUUGUUGUUCCCUCUGCCUGGAAUUCUCUUUCCCAGAAAUGCCAUUUGGCUUCAGCUUACCUCAGUGAGCUCUUUACUCAAAUAUUUCCAUCUUUUUGAGUUCUUCCUGGCCAUUCUAUUUAAAAUUAAAUCUCACCCCCCACCGUGACCUUUGUAUGCACCUUCACUGUUUAUUUUUCUCCAAAACACUAAUCGUCAUCUGAUCCAGAAUAUGUAUUAUUGAUUUUUAUAUAUCUUUUUCUGGACACUAGAAAGUAAGCCCAGGAGAGCAAGGGCUUGUUCUGUCAUAUUUAUUGCUGAUCCUCAGCAUCUAGAAUAUUCAAUGGUAUGUAAAACGCCUAGAAAAUAUUUGUUAAUGAUAUUGGCACUGAGUUGGAAAAGUUCAUGUCCCCAACAUAAUGGGGAAUAGCUUAAAGGGCCAUGGACCACAUUUUGAGAAUAACUGUCUGAUAACACACCAAUAUAUUAAUAUAUUGAGAAAUAUUUUUUUCUGAAGCUCCUUGGAUUUGAAUCUUUUCCUCCUUUCCUUUAGAUUUUGCACAAUCCUCUCUGUCAUUGAAGGUAAUCUGAUCAGUCACACUGAUGGAACUGCCAGCACAUGUGUUGGUCUUUUCUGGCUCACAGUCAUUUUUGUAAUUUAAUUAGGACUGAGUGGGUUAACAUCUGCUGAAAAUAAAAGUAGAUUAAAAGGUUGAGUUGUGACAGAAUAUUCCUAAUC
rnacentral:lncRNA from 1 species